CCUACGGGAGGCAGCAGUGAGGAAUAUUGGUCAAUGGACGAGAGUCUGAACCAGCCAAGUAGCGUGAAGGAUGACUGCCCUAUGGGUUGUAAACUUCUUUUAUAUGGGAAUAAAAUGUUCCACGUGUGGGAUUUUGUAUGUACCAUAUGAAUAAGGAUCGGCUAACUCCGUGCCAGCAGCCGCGGUAAUACGGAGGAUCCGAGCGUUAUCCGGAUUUUUUGGGUUUAAAGGGAGCGUAGGUGGGUUGUUAAGUCAGUUGUGAAAGUUUGCGGCUCAACCGUAAAAUUGCAGUUGAAACUGGCAGUCUUGAGUACAGUAGAGGUGGGCGGAAUUCGUGGUGUAGCGGUGAAAUGCUUAGAUAUCACGAAGAACUCCGAUUGCGAAGGCAGCUCACUGGACUGCAACUGACACUGAGGCUCGAAAGUGUGGGUAUCAAACAGGAUUAGAUACCCGUGUAGUC
rnacentral:rRNA from 1 species